rnacentral:rRNA from 1 species
UACAGAGGAUGCAAGCGUUAUCCGGAAUGAUUGGGCGUAAAGCGUCCGCAGGUGGCUCUUCAAGUCUGCGGUCAAAGACUGGGGCUUAACCCUGGAAAGGCCGUGGAAACUGAAGAGCUAGAGUGCAGUAGGGGUAGAGGGAAUUCCCGGUGUAGCGGUGAAAUGCGUAGAUAUCUGGAGGAACACCGGUGGCGAAGGCGGCAUCCUGGACCGACACUGACGCUGAGGAGCGAAAGCCAGGGGAGCAAACGGG